rnacentral:lncRNA from 1 species
AGAAUGAAUCCCCGACUAUUGUUUCUCCGCUACAAUACAAGAAACGGUUCAGAAAAGCAAUGACAACCUAUUUUCUCACGGUUCCAGAUCAAUGACUACAAUACAAGAAAAGAUUCAGAAAAGCGAUGACAACCUAUUUUCUCACGGUACCAGAUCAAUGGUCAUCUUGAAAAUCUUGAAUUUAGUUAUAUUCUUUCUUUGAGCCUUCUGCCAAUAAGCAAACUUUCCUAAUUGCACAAAAUUGCAGAUGAAGGAAGGUUAGAUAUUUUUCAGUUGGUUCAUUUUUGUUUUGCCAUCUGGGGUUAAAAUUCCCCUUGGGAAAGUUUAUGAGAAGUAGGGAUUGUCAUCUUUAUUAAGAAAUGUGGCAAAGUGUACAUUUGAUCAUCUGUACAUUUAUACAAAGCUUCAUUGAGCAAAUGAAAUCAAAUGUGA